CCUACGUGUGGCAGCAGUGAGGAAUAUUGGUCAAUGGCCGGAAGGCUGAACCAGCCAAGCCGCGUGAAGGACGAAGGUGCCAAGCAUUGUAAACUUCUUUUGUCAAGGGACAAAAUCAGGCUCGAGAGCCUGACCGAGGGUACUUGCAGAAAAAGCAUCGGCUAACUCCGUGCCAGCAGCCGCGGUAAUACGGGGGAUGCGAGCGUUAUCCGGAUUUAUUGGGUUUAAGGGGUGGGUAGGUGGGCUGUUAAGUCAGCUGUAAAAGCCCGGGGCCAAACCCCGGCGAGCCGUUGAAACUGGCUGUCUUGAGAUGUCGAGAGGUAUGCGGAAUGCGCAGUGUAGCGGUGAAAUGCUUAGAUAUUGCGCAGAACUCCAAUUGCGAAGGCAGCAUACCGGCGGCGAUCUGACGCUGAGGCACGAAAGCGUGGGUAUCGAACAGGAUUAGAUACCCGGGUAGUC
rnacentral:rRNA from 1 species